rnacentral:rRNA from 1 species
GUGCACCAGGCGAGAAACUUCACACUGUGCGAAAGCACGAUGAGGGAAUCCCAAGUGCUUGCACGUAAGUGUAAGCUGUUUCUCUGUCUAAAACGCAGAGAGAGUAAGGGCUGGGUAAGACGGGUGCCAGCCGCCGCGGUAAUACCUGCAGCUCAAGUGGUGACCGUUAUUAUUGGGGCCUAAAACGUUCGUAGCCGGUUUAAUAAAUGCCUGGGUAAAUUGUGUAGCUUAACUAUACGAAUUCCGGGUAGACUGUUAAACUUGAGACCGGGAGAAGUUAGAGGUACUCCUGGGGUAGAGGUGAAAUUCUGUAAUCCUAGGGGGACCACCAGUGGCGAAGGCGUCUAACUAGAACGGGUCUGACGGUGAGGGACGAAGCCCUGGGGCGCAAAACGGGGAUUAGAUACCCGGGUAGU